rnacentral:rRNA from 1 species
CAAUAGCGUAUAUUAAUGUUGUUGCAGUUAAAAAGCUCGUAGUUGGAUUUCUGGUGGGAGCGGCCGGUCCGCCGUAAGGUGUGUACUUGGUUGUCUCCUGUCAUCCUUGUGGGAACUGCUCUGGCAUUAAGUUGUCGGGGUUAGGGAACACAUCGUUUACUGUGAAAAAAUUAGAGUGUUUAAAGCAGGCUUAUGCCGUUGAAUACAUUAGCAUGGAAUAAUAAGAUAGGACUUUGGCGUCUAUUUUGUUGGUUUGCACACCAAGGUAAUGAUUAAUAGGGAUAGUUGGGGGUAUUCGUAUUUAAUCGUCAGAGGUGAAAUUCUUGGAUUUAUGAAAGACGAACUUCUGCGAAAGCAUUUACCAAAGAUGUUUUCAUUAA